GUCAGUACAUCAUAUCCUAUACUUGUGACAUGAUUGGUCGAGUUUUAUAUCCUAGUUGAUCUAAGUGGUUAGUCCUUGUGGUUCAUUGAGCAGUAUUUGCAUAUAUUUGAGAGGAUGUCGAUGUUAUCCCAUCCUAGUUGACCUGAGUGGUCGGUUCUUGUGCUUCCUUACAGUUGAUGACCUAUGCGGUCGAUGGGCCCUGGGGGGCAGGAUUGUCGGCUGGUUGCUGACGGUUGAUCAUUGACCAUAUUGCAUUGAUCGCCCGAUACUCGUCGCAUUUCACGAACACUGGCGGUCUGAUCCACCGCAAGGAGUGUUCUUUUCCGAAAAAGUGGUUGAAUGGUGACAACCCGUGAGCCCUAAAGGGGUUAUAUGCAUGUUAGAGCGGCAGUGGUACUGUCGGGAGGUGUUGCGGUGCGGACCUCCAGGGCAUUGGCUUGAGGUCUGCGGUGCUGACCAAGAGAGCAUUGGUUUCAGAUUGGGUACUUUUGGACUGAUUGUCCCAUUGACGCAUAUGUUUAUAGUAGCAGUCGUUGCAUGCAUACUCACAGAUCUUACUUUAUAGUUGUCUUGCUACUAUAGUAGAUAUUCAUGUAUGCUUUCUGUUCCAGUUACAGUAGCGGUAGCCGUUUAUUCAGUAUAGUUCUUACUUCCUUUCAGUUUAUCGCUAUUGUAUAUCUGCUCAUUACCUUGUUUAUUUCCACUGACCCAUGUUGUUGUAUAGUUCUUCCUGAUCCGGUGAGUACUCCUCGUCUUCUUCGGCUUGCGGUACCCACUGGGAGGGAAGACAUGUUUACAUGUUCUCACCUCCCCCACCAUUUUUCAGGUAUCGCGAGCGAUGAGUAGUGGGACGAGACGUGAGGUACAUGUGUAGCGGUCGAUAGAGCUUCCGACCCAGGUUAUUUCGAUUUAGUUAUUAUCCUUGGUAUUUCUGUUGAUAUAUAGUUUAGUUAGUUUAUGUGGUUCAGUAUUUAUUUACAUUUGAAAAUGUGGAUUUCUGGAUUUUGUAAAAUAAAAGGUUUUCUACCCCUCGUGGUAGCGUUUUUAAANNNNNNNNNNNNNUUAUCCUUGGUAUUUCUGUUGAUAUAUAGUUUAGUUAGUUUAUGUGGUUCAGUAUUUAUUUACAUUUGAAAAUGUGGAUUUCUGGAUUUUGCAAAAUAAAAGGUUUUCUACCCCUCGUGGUAGUGUUUUUAAAAGAAUAAAGGUUUCUGUGUAGGAAACAGUUUUCAAAAGAUUUUUGUGGAUUUCUGUUUAAACCUUGAAUGUAAAACUGUGAUGUGAAUGGUGAAUGUAUGAAUGUAUAGUUAUUUUUAUAUUCAUCUGAUUGUGGUUGUAUCCUGGUUGUACUGUGUAUUUGAUCGACGCCGUGCAAAUACAGGGGAGACUCUGUCCGUGUGAACAGUGGAUUCCCUGUAUUUGUGGCGGAUCUGGCAUACUCUGGGGUCAGGUUUUCAAAAAA
rnacentral:lncRNA from 1 species